rnacentral:misc_RNA from 1 species
CACCCCUCAAGCUCUGCUUGGUGUUGGGCGUCACCGUUUGUCGGUGCGCCUUAAAGACAGUGGCGGCGCCAUCUGGCUUCAAGCGUAGUAAUACUUCUCGCUUUGGAGGACCAGGUGGUAGCUUGCCAGCCAACCCCAAUUUUCUAA